rnacentral:rRNA from 1 species
GACGAACGCUGGCGGCGUGCCUAAUACAUGCAAGUAGAACGCUGAAGAGAGGAGCUUGCUCUUCUUGGAUGAGUUGCGAACGGGUGAGUAACGCGUAGGUAACCUGCCUUGUAGCGGGGGAUAACUAUUGGAAACGAUAGCUAAUACCGCAUAACAAUGGAUGACACAUGUCAUUUAUUUGAAAGGGGCAAUUGCUCCACUACAAGAUGGACCUGCGUUGUAUUAGCUAGUAGGUGAGGUAAUGGCUCACCUAGGCGACGAUACAUAGCCGACCUGAGAGGGGGAUCGGCAACACGGGGAGGGGGCAAGGGCCAAGACUCCUACGGGAGGCACCAGAAGGGAACGUUCGGAAAUGGGGGCAACCCUAACCGAGAAAGCCGCGGGGAGUGAAGAGGGUUUCGGGUUCGUAAGGCCGUGUUUUAGGUAAAAAACGGGGUUGGGGGGGGAAGUUCACACUGUGACGGUAGCUGACCAGAAAGGGACGGCUAACUACGUG